AGUGAACGCUGGCGGUAGGCCUAACACAUGCAAGUCGAACGGCAGCACAGUAAGAGCUUGCUCUUACGGGUGGCGAGUGGCGGACGGGUGAGGAAUACAUCGGAAUCUACUUUUUCGUGGGGGAUAACGUAGGGAAACUUACGCUAAUACAGCAUACGUCCUACGGGUGAAAGCAGGGGAUCUUCGGACCUUGCGCGAUUGAAUGAGCCGAUGUCGGAUUAGCUAGUUGGCGGGGUAAAGGCCCACCAAGGCGACGAUUCAGCUGGUCUGAGAGGAUGAUCAGCCACACUGGAAGUGAGACACGGUCCAGACUCCUACGGUAGGCAGCAGCGGGGAAUAUUGGGCGAUGGGCGCGAGCGUGAUCCAGCCAUACCGCGUGGGUGAUGAAGGACUUCGGGUUGUAGAGCCCUUUUGUUGGGAAAGAAAAGCAGCAGGUUAAUACCCCGCGGUUCUGACGGUACCCAAAGAAUAAGCACCGGCUAACUUCGUG
rnacentral:rRNA from 1 species